UUUUCUAUUUUUUCUUCGAAUUCUUGCAGCCGCAGCAGCAGCAGCGCAAGCUCGCGAGAGGUUCCUUUGUUUGACUGGAAAGUUUGCGUGCUUUGACUGGCUCCAGUCCGAAGGCUCGGGAAUCUCUUGGUUCACACUGCUUGGAAGGGAAGAAAAGAAACAAUUAAGAGCAGGGGGAUCAAUGCUCUCUUAAGGUGGUCAACCUGGGACGAUCGAUCUCAUAUCUUUUUUUCUUGGAGCCGGCCUUGAACUAGAUCGAUCGUAGGACUCCAGCUUUUUAAACAAAUCGGUGAAUGGUGAAAACGAGGCAAUUCCGCUCACCCUCGCGAGAGAAAAGAGAAAAGUUGCUGUGAGUUUGAGUACUUGGAAGGGCAGCAGCUUUCUCGUCAUUUGCGUGCAUUGACCCAACAACAAGAGGCUUGUGAUCGCCGGGAGCGAAUCUCGAACGCUUAGUUUGAAGUGUUUUCAAGACGAUUCGGCCAAACUUUGGAAGGAUAAACGGAGGUCUGUGUGAUUGCCACAAAAUAGAUCGAUA
rnacentral:lncRNA from 1 species